CAGACAGUCAUCUGAUCUGGGUUACUGCAUAAGGUGUGCUUAUCUUCCAAAAAUCCACAAUUUGAAGGGUUUUUGUUGAAACUAUUUGUCAGCAUGCAUCCUGAUCUUUCAGCAGGGUCAGGACGUGUGGAUUCACCCACAUACAGAGACCUCAGUGUGCACACAGGGCGACUGAAGGACCAGCGUCACAACAAGCAAGGCCAAAAUGGAAAUGAGCAUUGCAUGCUAGUUUUCAGGUAGCAUGAAUUAGCAAAAGAAAAAAUAAAAGCAAACAAAAAAAGAUAGAUGAUGUCAUGAAAAUGACACCAAGUAUAAAGAGAAAAGAGCUUUUUUAACUCUCAACUGUGUGAUAAUUAAACUAAGGUGGUGGUGUCAUUUUAACGUCACCAAUAAAUACAUUUAAACUGCAUUGUUAUUUUGCCAGCAAAAAUAACUCACAGAACUUAUUUCCACAUCCCUUAUUUAUCUGGGUGGAGAGGGACCAGGAGAAAGGGGAAUCCAUUAAUUGUGUGGGGAAAAAAAAAGAAAAAAAAAAAGAAAAAAAAAAAGAAAAAAAAAAGAAAAAAAAAAAGAAAAAAAAAAAAAAAGAAAGAUUGUAGGAUUUAAAGUUGCAGCAUCCAAAACCUUGUCAGGACUAAUUUUACAUUGUUUAAUAAAAGCAAUAACCACCAGUACAUAGUAAAGACAGAAUCACAAUUAGGAUAUAGGAGAGAGCAAGGGUAAAACCAUGGAAAGGUCACAGCUGAAAUGCUGUCACGUUUUUUUAGACCCUCCGAUUUAACAAGUAAAUGAAGGUCCAUUCCAGCCCACUGUAUUCAGGGGUAAUUACUCAGUACAGAGCCAUGGGUUACUGUAAAAGAAGGGCAAAGAAAACAAAAAACGAAGUAAAUGUUAACCAGAAUUCACUGUCUGAUGAAGUCUUUAUUUAAAAACAAAACUCAUCCAGAAAUACACAGAGAAGACACCUGUGGGCAAACCACAGUUGCACUUGGCCAGAGUGAACUCCUGGCCCCAGUGAGCAAAACACCCUCCUUUUUAGUGCAAAUCUUGCUGUAAAACAAGGCUUUUGCUGAAUAGAAAAUAUAAGAAGCAACCUGCCAGCAUCUGUAGACUUCUAAACAGAUGCCAAAUAAAAAAAAAUAAA